GGUUUUUUUUAAUACUUUUUAUUUUGAAUUAAUUUCAAACUUACAGAAAAGUUUAGGUACCCCAGUACUAGAAUUCUUGUAUACCAUUUACCUAGACUCAUCAAUUGUUAGCUUUUGUCACGUUUGCUUUAUUGUUUUCUAUUUAUGUAAAUUUACAUAUUUUUUCCAAACCAUCUGAGAGUAAAUUUCAGAUAUCAUGCUCCUUUUCCCGUGAAUACUUCAGUAGUAUUUCCUAAGAAUGAGGAUAUUUCCUUAGAUGACACCAGUUAUCAAAAUGAGGAAAGUUAACAAAGAUACAUGAGCUCUAAUUCUUUUUUUUUUUUAAGGGAAGUAGAAAGUACUGGGGAAGGAGGGCAGUCCAGGAUUAAGUGCAUGCAUCACAGGGUCACCUCCCUUUCUCCUUCCUCUCUCUCUCUGCCCUUGUUCAGGAGUUUCCUCAAAAGCCGAGGCCCUGGUGGGGAAGGCAGUGUCCUGCUGAGUGUAUCUGUUUUCCCUCCAUGCCCCCACUGGCAGCAGCAACUUCUCCACACCCAUGUCCAUACCGCACCUUGCCCUUAGUCCUCUGUCAGGAAGCUGGAAGCCCUCUGAACAGGACGGCUUUGUUCUACAAUACAAGGUCCCGAAGGGAGGAGGAAACCCAGUCCGCCGGAAGUGGAAGUUGGAAGUAAAGCUGAGGCCUAGGAAGUGGGAAGAUGGCUCCUGGGACACGCAAUCAUGUAUCGGCAUUUCGUGCAUGCAUGAAGAGGGGAAGAAGACAAGCUGCGGGGCUAGAGUAAGAUUUGCACACCUUGGGUCCUGGGACCGUCCUGCUCAGCUGAGUGGAAUACCAAACGAGGGUGUCUUGGAGCUGCACUUCACUUCAGCCAGGCAGUCGACAGGAGAAGCAGCGAGCGAGACCGACAGACUGUCACUGGCAAAAUGAACUGUCACCUCCCAUUUUUCAGAGGCACGGGGGAUGAAUUGCAGCCUUGAACCGUGCGGCCCGCUGCUGAUUGAGUUCCGCUGUCUUAGAACCCCUUGGAACAAGGCGAGUUCAUUUCAGACUGACGUCCCACCGCUCAUCAAUUUAAGAGCCAGUAAAAUUAACCACUUCGGAGCUGACUUGCUCCCUCCCCCUGCUUGGAUUCCGCAUCCCGAAAGGUCACCAAAUAAAUCUCUCUGGGUCCUACUAGCAUAAUAUGCAGCUUGGAGACAGGGUCUCAGAAGAGGAGACCGAGCCAGAGAUAGCCCAGGCCUGAAAGGUUGCCAAGGCCCCCUCACAGCCGCCGGUCCAUGGCAGUGGUGUGACAAGACAGGCCUUUGCUAGCUCUGCUCCCACCCAAUCAGCUUCUGCUCCCAAGAGAUCUAGGGUUGGGUAGAGUUGGGUGGCUGAGAAUGGAGGUGCUACAGAAGACCCCCUAGUCUUGUGGCAGAGACCUCUGUGCACUGCUAGUCUCCCAUCUGCUGUGGACUGAAUGUUUGUGCCCCACACCCAUUCAUAUGUUGGAACCCUAAUCCCCAAUAUAAUGAUAUUCGGAAGUGGACAUUUGGGAGGUAAUCAGGGUUAAAUUAGGUCAUGGGGGUGGGGCCCCAAUGUUGGGAUAUAAUGCCUUUAUAAAAUGGAAGAGAAGCUGAAACCUUUUUUUCUUGGCCAUGUGAGGAGGAUACAGCAAGGAGACAGCAGCCAUCUGUAAACUAGGAAGAGGACUCUCACCAGGAACCUCACUAUGCUGGCACCCUGAUCUUGGACUUCCAGUCUCCAGAACCCAGAGCUGCCUCUCCUGAUAAAGGCUGAAAGUACCAGACUCUUGAUUUCCCAGGUUCACUUGAAGCUAAAGACAGCCACAUGAGCCAGUUCUGGCCAAUGAGAAGUAAGAGGAAGACCGUACUGGGAGAUGUCUGGGGACAUUUUUCUUCUAGUUAAAAGGAUGAGCAUGCAUGAGGCCCCUGCGCUUUUUUCCUUCAUGGCUGUGAACACAGUUGUAUGAAAACAUGAUUCUUCAACUAUGGCAACCAUGCAACAGCAAGUCUAAAGACCAAGAGCCAAUGCUGAGAGUAAAGAAAUAAAAGGAUGAAAGAAGUCUGCUCAGUUGUAGUACUUUUCAGCUGAUGAACCAAAGUAGGACCUCUAGACUUCUUUUGUGAGACAGUGAAAACUGCUCUUGAGGCUUUUUGUUAAGUAUUCUUGUUACCUGCCUCUGAAAGGAUUUUGAUACAUUGAAAAUGCAGAAUGAUACAGAAACUGGAAUUGAAAGAAACUCACUGAACUCCCUGGCUCAGGUGCUGGGAGUUAAAUCCUCCCACGACAAGGCCUACAGGGUUGCAUCCGAAGGGGAAGCUCCGGCUCCCGGCGAUGGCUCACUUGUCCUCUGACUUCUGGUUGGGUUCAGCCAAUGGUCAAUGCUCAAGAAACAGUGCCUCUACCUGAAGUUUUUAAAGAGGAAGGAGGACACGUUUAUAUCAUGCAGCAAGUCACUGGAGAAGACUGAAGAAUUCCUGACUUCCAAAUCAAAACCACACUGUGACAUGG